AUGAAAGCUGCUAAUUGCUAUAUCAAAUUAGGUGACUACAAAAGAGCAGGUAUGGUCUAUAUGCAAAAAUGUGGUACUUCCAGUUCUAGACUUGAGGAUGCUGAUGAUUAUUUUGCUAUCGCUGAAUGCUGGUCGGAGGCAGCGGAAGUGUUCUUCAAAGCUAAAUGUUACACCAAGUGUUUCUCCAUGUGCUCGAAAGGAAAACAAUUAUGCAAUCUGGAGGAGGAACAUUCGCUUCAGAAUUCAAAAUCCUUGAGGUUUCUGCAAUUAGAACAAACUAUCUGGAUAAUUAUGCUCAAGAUUAUUUUGAGCGUGUCGUCAUAA
rnacentral:rRNA from 1 species